CUUUUGUGAUUUUUUUUAUUUUUUUUAAUCUUAGUGGAGAGUCUUGUUCGGAGAGGAGUAAUUAAUUCACUUCUGUAUUUGACUAGACUUAACUAUUCUCCUCUUUUUAUUCACCGCUUUUUGUUUUAAACACUUUUACUGCGCUGAUGUUGAUGUGAAAAUAACUUCUCAGUACUCUUCUCUAACAUGUCUCACAUUUUUAUUUAUUUGGAUGGCCACAAGAGAGAAUCACAGACAUUUACUUUCACUUUUUAAAUGUUAGUGUGAGUGUUUGGGGGGUUUUUGAGCCAGAAAUUUCAGUGAAGUCCACACUCUCACUUUUCACACAGUCAGUGUGUAACUACAUCACCUGAUCAUUUCUGACCAGAGAUUUGCUGUUAAGAACAUUUUUAAAUCUUAAUAUUUUCAGUGUAAGGUUUAUGUAUAGUUGUGAUACCUGUGUGUAAAGUGUUCCAUGUUCUCUGUGUGUUUAGGAUCUCUGUGUGUGUGUAUCAGUGCUGUCAUGCUGCUCCAGAGUUCUCCCACAGCAGCUCAUUCCAAUACCGAAGUGAACGCGCCGACGAUUAUCCACAUGGCGCAGAAGUUUUCAGGCACUCGCUACAGGAUCACCUGCAGAGUGAACCCUGGAGGACUCAAAGACGAGAUCAUGGUGUACUGGCUGGCCGAUGGAGACUUUUUAGAGACGGCCUAUAAAAACAUCCGUGUGACAAAAAAAGUGAAAUGGUUGGACGGGACAGAGUACAUCGAGACCACAGCGGUGUUCAAAAAGCUUUCUCAGAAAGACUUCGACACCAAUUUCACCUGCAUCGCUCUGAGUCCAGCCGGGUUCGCCAAAGAAAACAUUCAAAUCAUAAAAGCAUCUCCUAGACUGACCUGAGUGUGUUUGUAACUUCUCAGUAUUUAUGACCCAGUGUUCAACACGAAAUGUAGGAAUACGUUCAUCUCCGUAGCUAAACGAGCGAAUGCGUGUCCUUUAAAAACAAAAUACCCAAGACCUCUUUACGAAGUAUUUUAGGAUGUAAUCAUAUCUCUAAAAUGUUUUAUUUCCAAAGGAUUUUUGGAAGUUUGUUUGUGGAUGCAGAUCUACUUGGCAUCAAACUGCAUAUAUUGUAGAAGUUAUAUUGCGUGAAGGAGUUUAAUGUUGAAUUAUUGGGUAUUAUUUUUAUAUUAAUAUACGAUUUAUAAACCUGACUGUUAGUUGGGUGUUUCAGCUGUACUUGAAAACUUGUUUUUUUUCUUUAUAAAUCUCAAGUGAUCAUUUAUGAGUUUCUCUUUAAAUCGUGUAAAAUUCCAGGGGAUUGUUUAUAAAAGAAAAUUGUACAUGCAUUCACACAAAAACAAUCUGAUUUUAUAAAACUCUUUGUAUGCCAUGUCUAUGUGAUGUAUAAAUCUCCCAAAUGACCAUCAAAAUCUCUCAACACCUCCAUGUUUUGCGUAUUCAUGAACGUCUGUGUGUGUAAACAGUGUGUUUAAACAUUGUCCUUAUUUUAUUUCUUAUUAUUUAUCCUUUAUUUUCCACUGCAUUCUCAAUGAGAGUGUAGAAACGAAUCAGUUCAUUGUGUAAUAAUAAACACAAUCAAAUAAUGAAUAUCUGUGAGUUCAUUUCUGUUCCAAAAAACAUAUUUUAGCGCUCUCAGAGAGACCUGCCACUGAGCUCAGGAUCAGGAUCC
ensembl:lncRNA